UACGCCAGAACACGCGGAUCUAGCCGCUUCUGGGUCGGGUCAUCGGGUCGCGGCCUAAACGGCACCGUUUCAUGGCCAUUGAAUCCGGCCCAAACGAUGCCGUUUCAAAAAUCGGCAUAAGGAAAAAAAAAAACCCUAACUAAACCUAAUCUACCCUUUAACAAAACAAACAGAAAGAAAACAAAAGGGCCUCACUGCGCCGUUUCGACAAAAUGUCGUCCCAGGGCUCUCUCCCCUCGCCGCGACUCCGAUGACUACGGAGGGAGCAAAGGUCCAGCCACCAGGUACGGAGCGCAGGGUCUGGACGCGGCACGUACAGAGUCGAAGGUGCGGUACGAGGUAGCAGACGUGGCAUCACGCACAUGGGGGAGGCGUGGGUGGCAGCGGCGUAGAAGACUUCUGCUGUUGCUAGGGUUUUUGGUAAUCGGGCUAGGGAUUUGGGCUUCUGUAAUCAGGCUAGGGACUUUUAAUUUUUAAUUUGGUUUUAUUUCACUAGCGGGCCAGACAGAUUGGGCCUAUUACAAUUUUCUUUCAAGUCACUUUAUUUCUUUUUCUUUCA